UCCUUCAGGCUGCUCUAAUAAGUCUCUUAAGUCCCUCCAGUUGAUCCAGAAUGCUGCAGCUUGUGUACUCUCUAAAUCUAAAAAAAUAGAUCGCAUUACUCCUGUUUUAACUGCUCUGCACGGCCUUCCUGUAAAAUCCAUCCCAUACUUUGAGAUAGUUUGAGAGCCUGGAUAUCGGGGACAUUUCCAUCCACAGAGCCAUUGAAGACAUUGAACAGUAGAAUAGUAUCACACAGGCUGUUUCUCUGGCAAUGACUGUUGACGUUUUUGUUGACCUGACUGCAAUGAAGGUAUGUGCAUGAAACACACUCGGGACAACAUUCAGAGCGUAGGCCCGCAUGUUUUAAGGGUUUUAGACUUGAGUGCGACACUGUCCUGUCGUAUCUGCUGGUAACCAUCUUGGCUGCAUAGUUUCCUGUCAGUGUUUCCUUUCACAGUUCCUUUUCUAUUUCAGUGUGAUGCUCGAGACACGCAGAUGGUCUCUGGUUCCUUGCGGUUCCUCCAUCAGCUCUGAACUGGAGUGGGUGGCUGACUAGCUGGUCGACUGGCAUUCCCCUCAGACACACAAGGAAUGACAAAAACUUCGAAAAACAAAAGGCCCACCAAAACCUCAAUGGAGUUGGACAAUAAAAUCUUAAUUAGCUACUGGCAAUAAUGAUAAUAAAAAUAUAGUCUAGACAUGCUGUGUUGAAUAAAGAGUGGGGAUUUUACAAGAGCGUAAUGCACAGUUGAAAAAAACUCCAUGUUGUCUGCAAAGCCAGUGACAGUUUAUAUUAUCUUGUUUUAUGAAUAAUAAAAAAGCGUAGCCGUUUUCUUGUUUGCUGAUAUAAGGGGAAAGUAUUCUGGUGGGUGUGAGUGAAGUCUGGGUCACAGUCACACGCUGGAAACAGCUCAGUGUUUCAUUAGUUUGCCUACUGUUGCUUUAUUGUUAUUGAAGUGACUGUUAAUUUAAAUUAACUAUAAUAAAGAGCCAGUAGAGCUUGGAAUCAUGGAAUACUCUUCAACAGUAGUCUUGGAGAUUGCCUGUGUGAAAGAGGGAGCGCUUGCCUCGCAGUAUUUGUUUUAAAUGCAUCGUUUCAUGUUGGGGUUUAUAAAGAUGGAUGAUAGAUAGUAAAAUACAUACACAUAUAUAGUGGACUUACAUCAUGUGAGGGGUCAAAGGGCACGAUAUGAUUAAUGGAGCUAGAGUAGCCACACAUGUACUCAAGUAAAAGUAUUGCAAAGUAGAAUGAAAAAAUUACUUGAGAACAAACGGAUUUACUGAAAGAAAUGACUGCACACAAUUUAUAAGCAAUAAGUAGGAUUAUAGGAUAGAAUUUUAUUGGGGACUAAUAUAUUGUCUAUUCAGUAUUAGUGUUGACACUUGUUUCAUGAUUCAUAACUAGCCGUGUGUAUUUCAGCAUGUUUAUACAUGAGUGUAUCGAUCUAUGGUAUGUGUUUUAUGUGAUGCAGCAGCUUUAAAAUUUAAACCCCAGAUGGUUUUCAGGUAAACUAAAGGAAGCAAACAUAAAAAGAAAGAGGUAAAAUGCAAAGACCAUCGUCUGUGGAUUAGAUGACCUGCCACAUGAAAGUAUUCACCUUAGUAAAGAAUGUUGGCCUCUCUCUCUUCAUCCGGCUUCAUUGACUAGCUAAAUGCACCCCGCUGUAAUAUAUUCAUAUUAUGACAGAUAGCAGGUGUCGUAGUUUUGGAACAUGAUAUGCUGUGUCUGUGUAUAUUUAAACCUAUUAGCAUUAACACACACACACUGGCUUUCUGCACGGUUCUCUCGGGUGCUGACUUCAGACCAGCGUUCCCAACCCCAGCUGCGCAGUUACCUUGUCUGUAAAUAUUAGCUGCUGCUAGCGCUAUUUGAUAGCCAUAACUUUACCGUGAGGGGUCGUUCACAUGUUGUGAAUAACAAACCUCCUGCUGUGGCUCCAGGCCGCUUUGAACAGAGAGUCACAUGGAGGUGUGGUCGCGAUGGGACGACGGAGCGCCAGCAGACCUGGGACCAACUCGUCCCAUAGACCCAGACCUUCACAGCCCAGUGGAGGGGACCACUUGCCUCUUCACAGGAUGUCCUUGAGCGUGAUAGUCUGUGACUCGUGGACUACAGGAAGCGGAGAGGAGAGCACACCCCCAUCUCCAUAGACGGAGUUGCAGUAGAGAGGGUCAGCAGCUUCAAGUUCCUCGGCGUGCACAUCUCCGAGGACCUCACAUGGACCACGCACACCACUCACGUGGUGAAAAGGGCCCAACAACGCCUGUAUUUCCUUAGGCGACUGAGGAAAUUCAACAUGGCCCCCCGCAUCCUCAGAACAUUCUACACCAGUACCAUCGAGAGUGUUCUGACAGGUUGCAUCACCGUCUGGUACGGGAACUGCACCGCCCUGGAGCGUAGGGCACUACAGAGGGUGGUGCGGUCGGCACAGUACAUCGUUGGAGGUGAGCUUACCUCCAUCCUGGACAUAUACACCAAGCGGUGCGUGGCCAGGGCCAAACGGAUGAUGAAAGACAAUAACCACCCCGGCCACAAACUGUUCACCCUUCUACCGUCAGGCAGGCGAUACCGCAGUAUCAAGUGUCAGACAAACAGACUGAGGACAGCUUCUUCAGUCAGGCCAUCAGGCUGCUGAACAAGGACUGAGACCCUCAUUAACACUACACACCAGAACAUAUUCUGUGAAUAUCUAUGGCCAUGGUGUAUAUUUUAUUACAUUGUUUAUAUAUAUAUAUAUUGUAUAUAUAUAUUGUAUGUAUAUACAUAUAUAUAUAUAUAGUCUCAAAAAAAGUGUAUAUUUUAUUACAUUGUUUUAUAUAUAUAUAUUGCCAUGAUGUAUAUUCUAUUACAUUGUUUUAUAUAUAUAUUGUUAAUACUUUCUUCUUUUUUUUGUGUGGAUAUUGUAUAGUUUAUUCUCAUUCUUAUUCUUUUUUUAGUCUGCUACUGCUGUCGGGUGUUUUGCACAUAAGAAUUUCACGAACCGAUUAUACUUGUAUAAAAGGGGAUGUGACAAUAAAAAACUUGAAAC